rnacentral:rRNA from 1 species
AGAGAAAGCGGGCGGCAGGCUUAACACAUGCAAGUCGAACGGGCAUCUUCGGAUGUCAGUGGCAGACGGGUGAGUAACACGUGGGAACGUACCCUUCGGUUCGGAAUAACUCAGGGAAACUUGAGCUAAUACCGGAUACGCCCUUUUGGGGAAAGGUUUACUGCCGAAGGAUCGGCCCGCGUCUGAUUAGCUUGUUGGUGGGGUAACGGCCUACCAAGGCGACGAUCAGUAGCUGGUCUGAGAGGAUGAUCAGCCACACUGGGACUGAGACACGGCCCAGACUCCUACGGGAGGCAGCAGUGGGGAAUAUUGGACAAUGGGCGCAAGCCUGAUCCAGCCAUGCCGCGUGAGUGAUGAAGGCCUUAGGGUUGUAAAGCUCUUUUGUCCGGGACGAUAAUGACGGUACCGGAAGAAUAAGCCCCGGCUAACUUCGUG